UACGAGGGGGGCAAGCGUUGUUCGGAAUUAUUGGGCGUAAAGGGCGCGUAGGCGGUGUCGCAAGUCCGUGGUGAAAUCUCUAGGCUCAACUGGGGAACUGCACAGGAAACUAGCGGGCUUGAGUUCGGGAGAGGGAAGCGGAAUUCCGGGUGUAGCGGUGAAAUGCGCAGAUAUCAGGAGGAACAUCGGUGGCGAAGGCGGGUCUCUGGGCCGAUACUGACGCUGAGGAGCGAAAGCGUGGGGAGCGAACAGG
rnacentral:rRNA from 1 species